AACGAACGCUGGCGGCAUGCCUAACACAUGCAAGUCGAACGGGACCUUCGGGUCUAGUGGCGCACGGGUGCGUAACGCGUGGGAACCUGCCCUUAGGUUCGGAAUAACUCCCCGAAAGGGGUGCUAAUACCGGAUAAUGUCUUCGGACCAAAGAUUUAUCGCCUUUGGAUGGGCCCGCGUUGGAUUAGCUAGUUGGUAGGGUAAAAGCCUACCAAGGCGACGAUCCAUAGCUGGUCUGAGAGGAGGAUCAGCCACACUGGGACUGAGACACGGCCCAGACUCCUACGGGAGGCAGCAGUGGGGAAUAUUGGACAAUGGGCGAAAGCCUGAUCCAGCAAUGCCGCGUGAGUGAGGAAGGCCUUAGGGUUGUAAAGCUCUUUUACCCGGGAUGAUAAUGACAGUACCGGGAGAAUAAGCUCCGGCUAACUCCGUG
rnacentral:rRNA from 1 species